rnacentral:rRNA from 1 species
AGUGAACGCUGGCGGUAGGCCUAACACAUGCAAGUCGAACGGCAGCACAGUAAGAGCUUGCUCUUACGGGUGGCGAGUGGCGGCCGGGUGAGGAAUACAUCGGAAUCUACUUUUUCAUGGGGGAUAACGUAGGGAAACUUACGCUAAUACCGCAUACGACCUACGGGUGAAAGCAGGGGAUCUUCGGACCUUGCGCGAUUGAAUGAGCCGAUGUCGGAUUAGCUAGUUGGCGGGGUAAAGGCCCACCAAGGCGACGAUCCGUAGCUGGUCUGAGAGGAUGAUCAGCCACACUGGAACUGAGACACGGUCCAGACUCCUACGGGAGGCAGCAGUGGGGAAUAUUGGACAAUGGGCGCAAGCCUGAUCCAGCCAUACCGCGUGGGUGAAGAAGGCCUUCGGGUUGUAAAGCCCUUUUGUUGGGAAAGAAAAGCAGCAGGUUAAUACCCCGCUGUUCUGACGGUACCCAAAGAAUAAGCACCGGCUAACUUCGUG